AUAAAAGGCCUAUAGAGGGUAAUUCUGCUCGAAAUCUUGAACUUGCAAUUCUCAUCACCAUGUCGAAGAUAGGUACAAAUUAAGUUAUUAAAGUUGGUUUAAGCGCACUGAUAGAAAUUUACCUAAAAUUUAGUACUUGGACGAAAUUUAGGAGAAAAAAGCCCAAGAAGAUGAAGAAAGUUGUUUCAUUGUAAUAAUAAACCUGAAAUCUUUUGUCAAUUCUAAUUAAUACCCUUUCAAAAAAGAAGACUGAUCUUUGCAAUCACUAAAACUAUUAAAUUUAUUGAGCAGCUGAAGAAUCAUCUGUCUAUAAUUUGCAACAAGAAGUAACUGAAGGGGAGUUAAAAAAUGAGUAUCAACCAUUAUGGCAUCUGUCGCUUUGCUUCUUCUUCUU